UACGGGGGGGGCAAGCGUUGUUCGAAAUUACUGGGCGUAAAGGGCUCGUAGGUGGCCAACUAAGUCAGACGUGAAAUCCCUCAGCUUAACUGGGGAACUGCGUCUGAUACUGGAUGGCUUGAGUUUGGGAGAGGGAUGCGGAAUUCCAGGUGUAGCGGUGAAAUGCGUAGAUAUCUGGAGGAACACCGGUGGCGAAGGCGGCAUCCUGGACCAACACUGACACUGAGGAGCGAAAGCCAGGGGAGCAAACGGG
rnacentral:rRNA from 1 species